GUGUGCAGAGCUUGUCACAUCAUACCCAAGAAGGUAUACAGAGAUUGUCACAUCAUACCCAAGAAGGUGUGCAGAGCUUGUCACAUCAUACCCAAGAAGGUGUGAAAGUCUUGUCACAUUAUACCCAAGAAGGUCUACAGAGCUUGUGACAUCAUACCCAAGAAGGUCUACAGAGCUUGUCACAUCAUACCCAAGAAGGUGUGCAGAGCUUGUCACAUCAUAGCCAAGAAGGUGUGAAAGUCUUGUCACAUCAUACCCAAGAAGGUCUACAGAGCUUGUCACAUCACACCCAAGAAUGUAUGCAGAGCUUGUCACAUCAUACCCAAGACGGUCUGCAGAGCUUGUCACAUAAUACCCAAGAAGGUGUGCAGAGCUUGUCACAUCAUAUCCAACAAUGUAUGCAGAGCUUGUCACAUCAUACCCAAGGUCUGCAGAGCUUGUCACAUUAUACCCAAGAAGGUAUACAGAGCUUGUCACAUCAUACCCAAAAAGGUAUACAGAGCUUGUCACAUCAUACCCAAGAAGGUGUGCAGAGCUUGUCACAUCAUACCCAAGAAGGUGUACAGAGCUUGUCACAUCAUACCCAAGAAGGUGUACAGAGCUUGUCACAUCAUACCCAAGAAUGUAUGCAGAGUUUGUCACAUCAUAG